GACGUGAACAUCAGUCAGAAGUGUGGAGUCUUUCCCACAGUGUGGCUUUCUGCUGUUUGUUGGUUCUCUGCAGGUUGCAAAGCUGGACUCCUCAAGUCCAGUUCUGAGUGCUGAACUCAGGACUGAGGUCUGCAGAAAGUCUGCUCAAAUCCACACAAAGAAAUAAACCUCUUCCCUCUCCCCGGUCACUCCCUCCAGCUCCUCUGAGGGGACCCCGAGCCGGUCCCAGGCCGGCCGAGAGACCUAGCCUGUCCAGCAUGUCCUUGGUCUUCCCCGGGGUCUACUGUGUGUUGUUAAUAAGGUGGAGGUGGUAAAGGUCAAAGAAAGGUCAAAUGACCACAUGACAUGACAGGUUAGAUUCAAAGGAGGGAGAGAUGGAUCAGUACAGGUGAGGCAGACAAACAGAGAUGGAAGGAUGAGCAGCAGGUCAGGGCUGUGUACAAUGCUUGAGCAGCUCAGUAAACCUUUAGUUGAGAUGAACGUUGGAGGCCAACAUCUGGAAUGCUCUUCAUGACUGUCAGAAGUCCAAUCCUUCUGCUGUCAAAGUGUUGAGUCAGAAAAAGCUUUUGAUGGAGUCCCAGUAAAAACAGGAUGUUUUUCAGUGGAGACAAUGAAGCUGAGUCUAGACUUUGUAACUAAAAGACCUGUCAGAGCAGAGUCAACAUGGAAGAACCGCCCAUCCAUGCAGCUGCAGCUUCUAAAGGCCAACCUCCACUCAACAGUCUUCUACUGGUCACACUUUGAUCUGGCUUUGAUUGAAAAAUUUUCAAACAUCAGUUUUAUUCAUGUGUCAUUCAAGUCUCUGCUGAUAAGAUUUCAUUGUUUGUAUUUCUCUAUAUUUUCAUCUUUUUCUGUUCAAAUGUUACUAGUUAAACAAGCCUUUAUUUUGAAAGAGCCAGGGAGGCAGAAACAAUCUUCAGAGACUCUGAAGAUGAGAUCACCAACCCCCCCUGGAAUGUUGACCUCUGUGCAGUGGACUAGUGGGGGAGGGACGGCUGAACCAAUCACAGAAAGACUGCUGCAGCUUUCCCUCCAAAAGGGAACCAAUCAGAUGUUGUUGCUUGGAUUCCUUUGUCUGGAAGUUUCCAUGUGGAAGCUUCCAGAGUCUUUUCUGUUUGGUCUGCAGGCCGAGCAGAACUGACUCCUGCAGGAUCACAGGAACUUUCAAGGAAAUCUCCAAGCAGGAGAAAAGUUUCUGUUUGGAGCUUUUUUCUGUGAUUGUGAGACUAGCAGAUGAUCGGAGCUGCUGCUGUUCAGAGGACUUUGGUGUUUGUUGGAGCUGAAGAUCUUCUGCAGCUGCAGGAACCAUGUCUUCAUUUGCUCAGAAAGAGUCUGUCAGAGAACAACUUUCUGCUGCUGAAGAAACCUCCAAACUCUGUGAGGGAACCAUCGUCCAGAAUGGGGCAGGAUUCUGUCGUCAGCGCAGACUGCUGGAUCUCAUCUCAAAAGUACAGAGUCAAAUCCACAUUAAAGUCCUCCCCCAGCAUUAUGCGAGUGAAGAGGACAAUCUUUACAACCAGCAGAGGAAUUUAAAAAUGGAACAAGAGGAAUCGGAGUCUCUAAAGAUUAAAGAGGAACAGGAAGACCAAGAAUUUACACAGACUGAGGAGAGGCAGAAGGAAUCAAAACUUCUGCAGAUAAAAGUUGAGCAGGAGGAACAAGAAAUCGCGGAGAUUAAGGAAAAAAAAACAGAAGAAACGCAAAAGUUCAGAACUCACAUGAGAACUCACACAGGAGAGAAGUCUUUUCUUUGUAAAGAAUGUGACAAAAGUUUUAAUUAUGUAUCUCAUCUCACAGCACACAUGAGAGCUCACACAGGAGAGAAGCCUUUUUCUUGUAAAGAAUGUGACAAAAGUUAUACUCGUAUAUCUCAUCUCAAAGCGCACCUGAGAAUUCACACAGGAGAGAAGCCUUUUUUGUGUGAAGAAUGUGAUAGAAGUUUUAGAUGUGUAUUUACUCUAAAAAGACACCUGAGAACACACACUGGAGAAAAGCCUUUUACAUGUAAAGAAUGUGAUAAAAGUUUUAGUCAAAUAUCUAAUCUUAAAACACACAUGAGAAUUCAUACAGGAGAAAAGCCUUUUACGUGUAAAGAAUGUGAUAAAAGUUUUAGUCAACUAUCUAAUUUUAAAACACACAUGAAAACUCAUAAAGUUAGAAAAUAAAUCUAGAAGAAAAUAUGAUUAAGAAUUAGAUUAAAAAAAAUUAAUCUCAUGUUUAUAACUCCACAGGACCCACACUAAUCUGUCAAUUAACUCCAAACACUUUCUCCCUUAUUGAAUUAACAAAAAUAUUAAACUUGUCCUCAAAAUUGAUUAGUUUAUAUGUACCUCUAAAGACAAAUGUGUUGUUUUGAAAGUUUGAUAAAAUAAAAACAUUUUUGAUUAUUUUAACUUUUUAUUAGUUGAUUUUUAUUUGUAGGUUUUUGUCUCUGUUAGCAUGACAACACUAAAAAUAUUUGAACAUGUCUCUGAUGCUAACACUUUUUAUGUGAUUUCUGAACAUUUCAAUAUUGUUUUCUGUAUAAAAUAAUUCCAGUUUAUAUUUUGUUGAGUCAUGUUAGUAAAUAACAGUUUAGUG